rnacentral:lncRNA from 1 species
GGCCCUGAGGGAUUACUGGGCUGUCCUCCGUCCACCCCAAGGCUGGAUCACCCUCUCUCCCUCCUGUCUUUCUGUCCCGGUGCAGCAAAGAGGAAACAGUGGACACCAUGAGGAGCAUGCAGACACUUGACUCUGGUCUCUCAGGAGGGUUUGAGAAAUGCUACAAUGAGACUCUGCCAACUUCUCAGCUUGUGAAAGGAGCUGGAUGGGUGGAUAUGUGCCUGACACCAGCCCUGCCGGGUUUUUGAUUGGCUGGUGAGGCUGUGAAAGUGUAGGCUUUUGCACCAGAUUUCCUGACGGUGCUUAACCUCCUACGCCUCAGUUUUCUGAGCUGCAGAAUGGGGACAAAUAAGAACAUCAGCCUGAGACAUAGAAGGUGCUUAGAGAAAUAUCUUUUCUCUACAUGCUGCAGCCAUACGAGCCAUAGGCAAGACUGCGACUGCUUGUGGCGAGGAAACAUUUGCCUCUCCAUCCCUAUUUCAAGACAAACAUUUUAAGGAGUUCCUAUCGAAUCCAAAGUUUGUCCUUUCUCUCGGACACAAAGAGGAAAAAACGCUGUGACUCAUAUGAUCUGUCCCGCCGUUGGUGUCUCUCUGGCUGCAGGCACUUCCUGACAUGGAACAUGGGAAUUCCAUCUGCUUGAAUGAGCUGUUGAAAUACAGGGCCCAUAUGCCCCGGACCCAGGGGAGGACAUCAUGAGUUUGCACAGGAUGAUUAUAAGGGCUGAAAAAUGUGGACAUCAUGGCCAGCAGGCUGUAGUUGUCACUCAACAUUUGCCAGUCUGGAAAAAAGGGCAAAAGCAUUGUAAUCAAAUUAAGAGAAUGAGUGAAGCAACAGAUGUAAAGGACAGUGGAGGAAAGACAUGGAACACAUUUCCUCUGUAUAUUUUAGAUCAACAAAGUUUCUAAGUCCUCUUGAAACAUGUCAGAUUGUCAACACCCAAGUCAGGCCCAGGAAAACCUAACACUGACCAUCUAGGAGGCUUUGCAGAAUGGGAGAAUGUUCUUUCCAAUGAAACUGAGAGCAAAAAUCAAGUUAGGACUUGGGGGGUGUCAUGUUUUCUAGUUUGAAAAUGGUACUCAUGUAUUUUUAGCAAAGUGAACACAUGAAGCAGGCAUAUAUGUUACUUUGAUUGUGACUAGUUUGCCAGUUUGUGAAGAAGGUAAGCCGUCAGCAUCAACACGACUCCUUCAAAGCAAAAGCUUGCCUUGUAGUUUAAUCAUUACUUUGGAAAUGAUAUCACAUCUGGAGUAUUUAAAGUUCCGGGUAUGAGUUACAUUCUCUCUCUUGCAAUGUUGAAUUGGAAUCCUUUGUUUGUUUGUUUGUUUUCAAUCCUAAAACAUAAGAGGAGGGUGAAAGAAUUUUCGAAGGUGUUGGAAGAGCCAAAUCCUAGAAACCUUUACC